UGCAUCAGCGAUGACUACUAAUGACUUAUGAAUUAUAAAUGAUAAACACUUGUUCUGGAAGUCUGAGGUCUUU